GACGAACGCUGGCGGCGUGCUUAACACAUGCAAGUCGAACGGUAAGGCCCUUCGGGGUACACGAGUGGCGAACGGGUGAGUAACACGUGGGUGAUCUGCCCUGCACUUCGGGAUAAGCCUGGGAAACUGGUCUAAUACCGGAUAGGACCACUGCCUGCAUGGGUGGUGGUGGAAGGCUUUUGCGGUGUGGGAUGGGCCCGCGGCCUAUCAGCUUGUUGGUGGGGUGAUGGCCUACCAAGGCGACGACGGGUAGCCGGCCUGAGAGGGUGACCGGCCACACUGGGACUGAGAUACGGCCCAGACUCCUACGGGAGGCAGCAGUGGGGAAUAUUGCACAAUGGGCGCAAGCCUGAUGCAGCGACGCCGCGUGAGGGAUGACGGCCUUCGGGUUGUAAACCUCUUUCAGCACCGACGAAGCGCAAGUGACGGUAGGUGCAGAAGAAGGACCGGCCAACUACGUGCCAGCCGCCGCAGUAAUAC
rnacentral:rRNA from 1 species